UACGGGGGGGCAAGCGUUGUUCGGAAUUACUGGGCGUAAAGGGCUCGUAGGCGGCCAACUAAGUCAGACGUGAAAUCCCUAGGCUCAACCUAGGAACUGCGUCUGAUACUGGAUGGCUUGAAUCCGGGAGAGGGAUGCAGAAUUCCAGGUGUAGCGGUGAAAUGCGUAGAUAUCUGGAGGAAUACCGGUGGCGAAGGCGGCAUCCUGGACCGGCAUUGACGCUGAGGAGCGAAAGCCAGGGGAGCAAAGCGGG
rnacentral:rRNA from 1 species